rnacentral:rRNA from 1 species
CCUACGGGUGGCUGCAGUAGGGAAUUUUCGGCAAUGGGGGGAACCCUGACCGAGCAACGCCGCGUGAAGGCAGAAGGAAUUCGUUCUGGAAACUUCUGUUAUAAAGGAAGAAAGACGGAUGGAGGAAAUGACAUCCGAGUGACGGUACUUUAUGAGAAAGCCACGGCUAACUACGUGACAGCAGCGGCGGUAAUACGUAGGGGGGAAGCGUUAGCCGGAUUUAUUGGGCGUACAGAGGGAUCAGGCGGCAGCCAAGGUCUGUGGUGAAAGACUGAAGGUUAACUUCAGUAAGCCAUAGAGACCGGGCAGCUAGAGUGCAGGAGCGGAUCGUGGAAUUCCAUGUGUAGCGGUGAAAUGCGUAGAUAUAUGGAGGAACACCAGUGGCGAAGGCGACGAUCUGGCCUGCAACUGACGCUCAGUCCCGAAAGCGUGGGGAGCAAAUAGGAUUAGAUACCCUUGUAGUC